AUGCGCCAAGCUCGGAAUCAAGCUCUUGUUCUCAUCCGCAUACCAUCCUCAAACGGACGGCCAAACGGAGGUGACGAACUGGACACUAUCCACUCUCCUGCAUGUGUUGAUCAAGAAGAACAUCAAGGAGUGGGAGGCGUGCCCCCCAUCGCCGAGUACGCGUACAAUAGUGCAAGACAUUCGACUACCGACAAGUCCCCAUUCGAGGUCGUCUACGGCUUCAACCCGUUGUCUCCUUUGGACAUUCUACCUCUACCUCUACAAGAGCGCACCAACAUGGAUGCGAGUGCACGAGCAAGCUACAUCAAGAAGAUGCAUGAAGAUACAAGGAACAUCAUUGAGCGCCAAGUACAACGACUAGCAACCAAGCUCAACAUCAACAAGCAACCCAUGAUCUUCAACAUAGGUGAUCUCGUGUGGCUACACCUUCCAAAGGACCGCUUACCCAACAAACGCAAGUCCAAACUUCUCCCUCGAGCUGAUGGACCAUUCAAGGUGCUAGCACGCUACAAUGACAACGCCUACAAGAUUGAACUCCCACGAGAAAAGUACAACGUGAGCGACAUCUUCAACGUUAAAGACCUCUCGCCUUUCCAUGGUGAUGAAGAAUUUGAUCCGAGGUCGGAUCUUUCCCAAGGGAGGGGAGAUGAUGCGGAGCAUCCUUCCAUCAUCCCCACGGACUCUACAUCGACACAUCCAACCCCAAGAGGACCCAUGACAAGAGCAAGAGCAUGUGCUUUGGAAACUGAGGUGAACUCCUUCCUACUAGACUUUCGUAUGGACCCAAAUGGAACAUGUCUACUACCUCACCAAAAUAUGCUAUGCCUCCUUAGGUAUGAAGAGGAACAUCACCAAGAAGCUCAGGAGCAUCACCAAGGAGAAGGAGGACCACCCCAAGGCCGUGUGGACCAAGAACAAGGAGAACAGCAGCAACACAGGAGGCUCCAGGCGACCCCGUGCGCAUGGGCCCCCAAGACCCCGUGCCCACGGACUACACAGGAAUCUGACGCUGGAGCACCCCGUGCGCACGGGCCUGUACCAUGCCCACGGCCCCCCCGUGUGCACGGGCCCAACUUACCCCGUGCGCACGGGCCUCCCAGGAUGGCCGUCUGA
rnacentral:rRNA from 1 species